GAACGUCGUGAGACAGUUCGGUCCCUAUCUGCCGUGGGUGUAGGAUACUUGAGAGGAGUUGCCCCUAGUACGAGAGGACCGGGGUGAACGAUCCACUGGUGGACCUGUUGUUGCGCCAGCAGCAGUGCAGGGUAGCUAUGAUCGGAAAGGAUAACCGCUGAAGGCAUCUAAGCGGGAAGCCCCCCUCAAAACAAGGUAUCCCUGAGGGCCGUGGUAGACCACCACGUCGAUAGGCCGGAGGUGUAAGCGCAGCAAUGCGUUCAGCUGACCGGUACUAAUGG
rnacentral:rRNA from 12 species